rnacentral:snRNA from 1 species
AGAUGUGAGGGCGAUCUGGCUGCGACAUGUGUCACCGCAUUGAUCGCCAGGGUUGAUUCGGCUGAUCUGGCUUGCUAGGCGGGUGUCCCUUUCCUCCCUCAGCUCUCCAUGUGCGUCCCUCCCGAGGCUGCGAGCUCCGCCGAAGAGGACGACUACCCCCGAUAGAGGAGGACCGUUCCUUGGUCAACAGUACACGAGUAGCUGCGUUCCUCUGCUAGAACCUCCAAGCUCUCAAAAUGGUUUUAAUUUUCAGGUAGCUAUUAAAAUGACUUAUACAAACAUAAACAAGAAGUGAAAUUUUUAAUUU